GAAGUGUGGACGCCAGUCUGCAUGGAGCCGACCUUGAAAUACCACCCUUUAAUGUUUGAUGUUCUAACGUGGACCCGUAAUCCGGGUUGCGGACAGUGUCUGGUGGGUAGUUUGACUGGGGCGGUCUCCUCCUAAAGAGUAACGGAGGAGCACGAAGGUUGGCUAAUCCUGGUCGGACAUCAGGAGGUUAGUGCAAUGGCAUAAGCCAGCUUGACUGCGAGCGUGACGGCGCGAGCAGGUGCGAAAGCAGGUCAUAGUGAUCCGGUGGUUCUGAAUGGAAGGGCCAUCGCUCAACGGAUAAAAGGUACUCCGGGGAUAACAGGCUGAUACCGCCCAAGAGUUCAUAUCGACGGCGGUGUUUGGCACCUCGAUGUCGGCUCAUCACAUCCUGGGGCUGAAGUAGGUCCCAAGGGUAUGGCUGUUCGCCAUUUAAAGUGGUACGCGAGCUGGGUUUAGAACGUCGUGAGACAGUUCGGUCCCUAUCUGCCGUGGGCGCUGGAGAAUUGAGGGGGGCUGCUCCUAGUACGAGAGGACCGGAGUGGACGCAUCACUGGUGUUCGGGUUGUCAUGCCAAUGGCACUGCCCGGUAGCUAAAUGCGGAAGAGAUAAGUGCUGAAAGCAUCUAAGCACGAAACUUGCCCCGAGAUGAGUUCUCCCUGACUCCUUGAGAGUCCUGAAGGAACGUUGAAGACGACGACGUUGAUAGGCCGGGUGUGUAAGCGCAGCGAUGCGUUGAGCUAACCGGUACUAAUGAACCGUGAGGCUUAACCUUACAACGCCGAAG
rnacentral:rRNA from 1 species